rnacentral:pre_miRNA from 1 species
UCCCGUCAUCGCUGCCGGCAAAGGGAGGGGGGGUGCCGCAACAAGGAGAGGAGGACGGAGUGGGGCGAGUGGAGCGUCAAAGGGGAUGUCAUCGCCGCCGAAUCUGCUCGUGGGACAUCCCCUUCGAUGCUCCACUCGCCCCAAUCCGUCCUCCUCUCCUUGUUGCGGCACCCCCCUUCGCUGGCAGCGACGACGGCCUC